CUGCUAUUCUUCUCUCUUACAGAGUCGAAAAGUCGAUCGCCGC
rnacentral:ribozyme from 1 species